rnacentral:rRNA from 2 species
UUUCGCAAUGCCCGAAAGGGUGACGAAGCGACGCCGCGUGCGGGAAGAAGGCCUUCGGGUUGUAAACCGCUGUCGGGAGUUAAGAAAUGUAAGGAUGUUAAUAGCAUCUUUGCUUGACUAAGGCUCCGGAGGAAGCCACGGCUAACUCUGAGCCAGCAGCCGCGGUAAUACAGAGGCGGCAAGCGUUGUUCGGAAUUAUUGGGCGUAAAGAGCACGUAGGCGGCUAUGUAAGUCGGUUGUGAAAGCCUUCCGCUCAACGGGAGAACAGCAUCCGAUACUGCAUGGCUUGAGUGCGGGAGGGGAGAGUGGAACUUCUGGUGGAGCGGUGAAAUGCGUAGAUAUCAGAAGGAACGCCGGCGGCGAAAGCGGCUCUCUGGCCCAUAACUGACGCUGAGUGUGCGAAAGCUAGGGGAGCAAACGGGAUUAGAUACCCCGGUAGUCCUAGCCGUAAACGAUGGGCACUAAGUAGAGGGGUUUU